AUUGAACGCUGGCGGCAUGCUUUACACAUGCAAGUCGAACGGUAACAGGCCGCAAGGUGCUGACGAGUGGCGAACGGGUGAGUAAUGCAUCGGAACGUGCCCAGUCGUGGGGGAUAACGCAGCGAAAGCUGCGCUAAUACCGCAUACGAUCUAUGGAUGAAAGCGGGGGACCGUAAGGCCUCGCGCGAUUGGAGCGGCCGAUGUCAGAUUAGGUAGUUGGGGGGGUAAAGGCUCACCCAGCCGGAGAUCUGUAGCUGGUCUGAAGGGACGACCAUCCCCACUGGGACUGGACCACGGCCCAGACUCCUACAGGAGGCAGCAUUGGGGAAGUUUGGACAAUGGGCGCAAGCCUGAUCCAGCAAUGCCGCGUGCAGGAAGAAGGCCUUCGGGUUGUAAACUGCUUUUGUACGGAACGAAACGGUCCUGGUUAAUACCUGGGGCUAAUGACGGUACCGUAAGAAUAAGCACCGGUUAACUACGUGCCAGCCGCCGCCGUAACAC
rnacentral:rRNA from 1 species